UACGGGGGGAGCAAGCGUUGUUCGGAUUUACUGGGCGUAAAGGGCGCGUAGGCGGCCACGACAAGUCACUUGUGAAAUCUCCGGGCUUAACUCGGAAAGGUCAAGUGAUACUGUCGGACUAGAGUACAGAAGGGGCAACUGGAAUUCUCGGUGUAGCGGUGAAAUGCGUAGAUAUCGAGAGGAACACCUGCGGCGAAGGCGGGUUGCUGGGCUGAUACUGACGCUGAGGCGCGAAAGCUAGGGGAGCGAACGGG
rnacentral:rRNA from 1 species